ensembl:misc_RNA 7SK 7SK RNA
GGAUGUGAGGCUGAUGGCUGCGACCUGUCACCUCACUGAUCUCCAGGGUUGAUAUAAGGUGGGUGUCCUCUUCCCCAAUCACGCUCCAUGUGCAUUCCUUCUGAAGUGGUUGGUUGAAGAGGAUGUCCUUCCUCCAUAGAGGAGAACCAUUCCUUGAUAAAGGGCAGCUGUUCUCCCCUGCUAAAACCUCCAAACAAGCUCUCCAGGAGGGUUUAUGCCAGAAAUGCACCUUUGGUUCAAUAUUAGAGACACAUUGUUACUUUAAUUUACCACAUUAAGAGAUUAA